rnacentral:rRNA from 1 species
AGCGAACGCUGGCGGCAGGCCUAACACAUGCAAGUCGAACGAAGCCUUCGGGCUUAGUGGCGGACGGGUGAGUAACACGUGGGAACGUACCUUUUGGUUCGGAACAACUCAGGGAAACUUGAGCUAAUACCGGAUGAGCCCUUAGGGGGAAAGAUUUAUCGCCGAAAGAGCGGCCCGCGUUAGAUUAGCUAGUUGGUGAGGUAAAGGCUCACCAAGGCAACGAUCUAUAGCUGGUCUGAGAGGAUGAUCAGCCACACUGGGACUGAGACACGGCCCAGACUCCUACGGGAGGAAGCAGUGGGGAAUCUUGCGCAAUGGGCGAAAGCCUGACGCAGCCAUGACGCGUGAAUGAUGAAGGUCUUAGGAUUGUAAAAUUCUUUUACCAGGGACGAUAAUGACGGUACCUGGAGAAAAAGCUCCGGCUAACUUCGUGCCAGCAGCCGCGGUAACAC